AACUUACUACUUGGUAGUUCUCAUUUGUCUAAAACUUGAAAAUUAGAAAUCCAAAACUAAUACAGAUGAGAUCUGAACAAAACACUCAAAACCUCAAGCAACGUUGGAACAGCCUUUUUAGAGACUGAAUAACUAUCUACUUCAUACAACUCUAUUAGCAACAGUUCAGAAACAAUGUUAGACCAAUGUAUGUACUGAAAUAUGAGCGCUAAUUUAUGUAAUGAGCGAAUUAUGGCAUUUCAGUUGAACUGUACUGACAUCAAAGGCUCGUACAUUUCUACGUACAUCAUUAACGUGUAUAAACAAACCAUGAUUAUUUCAACGAGUUCUUUGUUGUUUUAUUAAUUUCUUUAUCUUUCGCCUUUUUCCUUCGUUCAUUUCUUUCUUUUUCUUUCUAAACAGAAUUAAGAUAUCCUAAAAUUGAGAGCAACAGAUGCAACCGGCUAUUGACUAGUGUCAACUCACUAGUUUCAGUUUUGCCUUUUUUUGAAGAUCUUUGAAAGUGUUUGAAUUAGGAUCAUACUUAUUUUCGUCAAGGGAUUUGAAAAAACAACGAUGUCAAUGUUUAAGGGGCCUUGUACACCAUACGUUUCAAACUUUGUAAGAUCUUAAAGUUCCAACUGUGCAAAAUGGCAGCUUAAAGAUGAAGUGGAAAACUAAACACGAAAGGAUACAGUCAGUCCUUCCUGGAACCAUGUUAUUGCCUCAUCAUAUUUUUCUAGCUCCAUACAAGCACAACCUCCUGGUUCAAAUUAUACAGGAAUUUUUGUAAAUAUAUUGUAAAUGAGAUAGUAAACAAAUGUCAUGGUAUCAUACCACGAAAUAUAGCUUUAAUAUAACAAGGA